GCGGGGAGGCCGGAUCCUGGGCUGUGUCUCCCGCGCCCUGUGCUCCGGGGCCUGCGCUGUUGGAUUCGCACUCUCCGCGGCACAGCCCUCU
rnacentral:pre_miRNA from 1 species